rnacentral:lncRNA from 1 species
CACAACACGCAAACUAAGCUUUCCACACUGGAUAGAUAGGCUCUACAUGAGCAAAUUCUCACCCUGAGUGAUAAACAGGUGGGCAGAUUCUUAAGGCACAAGCUGCUUUGGCUUUGCAGCUUGGAUUUCCCAGGUUUUCUUACACAGGCUAGGAAUCUCUCUCCAGCCUGGCACCAUCACUUCUCAUAGUUCAAUCUUUGUCCCUCAGGUGUUUCCAGGUGUCUUAUUGCAGGGAGUGUGAGGUCCCCCCUGAUGUCAUUGUUCCCCUUUUAUCUCCUCUUCCCACCCGCUGGAAAACUCUUUUGCUGUGACCUGGGUCCAACAGUUCCCAUUGUGUAGCGUUCUCUCAGAGAGGUUUCUAUUGUGGACAGUUCCUGGGGUAACCCUGCUGCUUAUGUGCAUUUCCUCAAUAAGCCAUUGUUUGGCGUUUUUACUGUUGUACCUGAUAGGCUGUUUUGAACUUCACAACGUGUUUCAGGAACACAGACGUAGCUGAACUUCAUAAUUUCACAUACAACGAUAGCACAUACAAUCCAAUGAGACAUUGAUGUCUAGCAGAUAAAGACUUUUAGAAUGAUACCUUACAAUACGUACUUUGUACAAAACAUAAUCUAAUGACAUGACAGUGGCGAAUAUUGGGGUGUCAGGGUGUCCCACCCAGCUGUUCCUCCCACUCUGUCAAGCCCCCAGUAACACUGUCUGGCUGCCUAGCCCUCAUGUUGCAGUUCCUCUUUGGACACCUACCCCGUGAGAGCUGCUCCCUCUCUAGUCCGGUUUCACACAGAGCUGCCCUGCCCUCCCCAGAUAGUCACUCUUGUUACCAGAUGAAUGGCCUUCUGCCAUUCGGCAUAUCAAAGCCUGAGCAGCACUGGGGGGAAGCUUUCUAACAUCUCUCCCACUGGCAGCUCCUUUCCACGCUAACCUUCCUCUUUGUGUCUAAUCUCUGCGGGGCAUAGGAGGAGGCCCAGAAAAUGAAUUUUUUGAUUUCCAUCGUCAACCUCGUCAUAGACAUCGUGGCAUGGAGCCCAGAAAUAAAUAUGGACCACAAAGCCCUGCUAGUGGAGAAGAUAGCGGAGAUGCUUCAGCACGAGCCCGUCGACUCCCUGACCGACAUGGUGCGUCAGCAAGCGAUGCUCACCAUCAUGGAGCUGAGGUACCCAGCCUGCCCGGCCCAGCCCCAGCCAGUGCUGUGUGCAGCC